rnacentral:rRNA from 1 species
AGUGAACGCUGGCGGUAGGCCUAACACAUGCAAGUCGAACGGCAGCACAGUAAGAGCUUGCUCUUACGGGUGGCGAGUGGCGGACGGGUGAGGAAUACAUCGGAAUCUACUUUUUCGUGGGGGAUAACGUAGGGAAACUUACGCUAAUACCGCAUACGACCUACGGGUGAAAGCAGGGGAUCUUCGGACCUUGCGCGAUUGAAUGAGCCGAUGUCGGAUUAGCUAGUUGGCGGGGUAAAGGCCCACCAAGGCGACGAUCCGUAGCUGGUCUGAGAGGAUGAUCAGCCACCCUGGAACUGAAACACGGUCCAGACUCCUACGGGAGGCAGCAGUGGGGAAUAUUGGACAAUGGGCGCAAGCCUGAUCCAGCCAUACCGCGUGGGUGAAGAAGGCCUUCGGGUUGUAAAGCCCUUUUGUUGGGAAAGAAAAGCAGCAGGUUAAUACCCCGCUGUUCUGACGGUACCCAAAGAAUAAGCACCGGCUAACUUCGUG